rnacentral:rRNA from 1 species
GGAUGACAUCAGCUGCAGAAUAAGCACCGGCUAACUCUGUGCCAGCAGCCGCGGUAAUACAGAGGGUGCGAGCGUUAAUCGGAAUUACUGGGCGUAAAGCGAGCGUAGGUGGCUUAAUAAGUCAGAUGUGAAAUCCCCGGGCUUAACCUGGGAACUGCAUCUGAACCCGUUCGGCUAGAGUACGUGAGAGGGAAGUAGAAUUCCAGGUGUAGCGGUGAAAUGCGUAGAGAUCUGGAGGAAUACCGAUGGCGAAGGCAGCUUCCUGGCAUCAUACUGACACUGAGGUUCGAAAGCGUGGGUAGCAAACAGGAUUAGAUACCCUGGUAGUCCACGCCGUAAACGAUGUCUACUAGUCGUUGGGUCCCUUGAGGACUUAGUGACGCAGCUAACGCAAUAAGUAGACCGCCUGGGGAGUACGGCCGCAAGGUUAAAACUCAAAUGAAUUGACGGGGGCCCGCACAAGCGGUGGAGCAUGUGGUUUAAUUCGAUGCAACGCGAAG